rnacentral:rRNA from 1 species
GUGGGGUAAUGGCCUACCAAGGCUUCGACGGGUAGCCGGCCUGAGAGGGUGACCGGCCACACUGGGACUGAGACACGGCCCAGACUCCUACGGGAGGCAGCAGUGGGGAAUAUUGGACAAUGGGCGGAAGCCUGAUCCAGCAACGCCGCGUGAGGGAUGACGGCCUUCGGGUUGUAAACCUCUUUCAGCGGGGACGAAGCACCGGUUGAUGGUGGUGACGGUACCCGCAGAAGAAGCACCGGCCAACUACGUGCCAGCAGCCGCGGUAAUACGUAGGGCGCAAGCGUUGUCCGGAAUUAUUGGGCGUAAAGAGCUCGUAGGCGGUUUGUCGCGUCUGCUGUGAAAGCCCGGGGCUCAACCCCGGGUCUGCAGUGGGUACGGGCAGACUAGAGCGCAGUAGGGGAGACUGGAAUUCCUGGUGUAGCGGUGAAAUGCGCAGAUAUCAGGAGGAACACCGAUGGCGAAGGCAGGUCUCUGGGCUGUUACUGACGCUGAGGAGCGAAAGCAUGGGGAGCGAACAGGAUUAGAUACCCUGGUAGUCCAUGCCGUAAACGUUGGGCACUAGGUGUGGGGGACAUUCCACGUUCUCCGCGCCGUAGCUAACGCAUUAAGUG